UGUGUAGGGAAUUACUCAGCACAAGAGGAAUACAAAUUAGAUCUCUCCACAGUGCAGACAUGUACCAGCCCUCUCUCCCAUGAAGACUCAGUGAAUUUGAAAAUAUCUUUCAGCUUGUUACUGCAUUCUGUACUUUUACAGCAAAGCGGGAAGACAUUCUCAGCACCUGGAGUAGACCCCAAAGGAGUGGAUCUCAAAGAGAGUAAUGUUGAAGAUGUGUUCAUAUCGAUUACCUAAUGAUUGAGUGAAGACAUUUUAUAUUUGAUCAUUACCUAGUGGAUGUAUCAACCAUGAGCUGCAACUCGAAAUUGAUGAGACCAAGACAUUGGAGAAAGAUUCUUGCCUUUGUGCUUAUACACCUGGCACCUUUGUCUGUUCCACAGGUCCAAAUGGACAUCCUCCAGGAAAGGAAGGUCACAUCAGUGAGUACCCCUUGUACCACUGCCACCAAUCUCCCCAGGAGACCCUCCAAGACCAACAGUUAGAGGUAGGUCUAACUCAGACUCCUUUAUCUGGGGUUCUGGCACAGGCAAGUACCUAUAUAUGCCCUCCAGAUGUGGAGUAUCCACUUACCUCCAGUCCUAUGGAGCUCCUGCCAUCAAGCUCUGCUGGUAAAACCAAAUGCUUUGAGUGAUCUUUCCCCUAAAGCCAGAUCCCCAGGCUGAGGGGCCUGACUUAGGGCUCAGAACCCUUCAUUCCUGUGGGAGAGCUUCGGCCAUAUCAUUAUUAUCCAGUUUGUGGAUCAUUCACCAGGGGUUUGGGAUUUUAUUAUAUUGUGAGUGUGCCCCUCCUACCAUCUUCUUGUGGUUUCUUCUUUAUACCCUUGAAUGUAGCAUAUAUAUUAUGGCAAAAACCAGUCUUUUUUGUUGACAGCUGUUCAACAGUUAAUUGUGAUUUUGCACUUGUCAGAGGAGGUGAGCACAGGUUCUUCUACUUCACCAUCUUUCUUCCAACCCCCUUGUUAUUGAUUUCUAGUUUUAUAUCUUUGUAGUUGGAGAAGAUGCUUAAUAUGAUUUCAAUCUUCUGGAAUUUAUUGACACUUGUUUUGUGACCUAACAUGUCACAUCCUGGAGAAUGUUUCAUGUGCAUUUGAAAAGAAUGUGUGUUCUGCUUCUAGAUGAAAUGAUCUGUAUAUAUCUAUUAGUUUUAUCUGAUCUAAUGUGUCAUUUAGGUCUGAUGUUUCAAAGUUGAUUUUCUGUCUGAUGAUGUACUCAUUGAUUUAAAAAUAAAACAUAUAUUUUUAAGGAUUUAAAACA
ensembl:lncRNA